GCCCGGGUGGCCCAACGGCAGAGGCGUCCGAUUCAGGGUCGGAAGGUUGGGGGUUCGAAUCCCUCCCCGGGUAC
rnacentral:tRNA from 1 species